CGCCGUCCAAGUGCUGCAAUAAGCGCCGUCAUUUACAGCGUCUUCACUGACUCAUGUCGCGGUCCAAAACGCCGUUGCCCCUGUACUACACGGCGUUUGCGACGCUGUUGUUGAUGUCUAUAAGCGUCCUAACGUAAGGCGUUCAUUAUCACUUAACGCGGUUAUUAACGCCUGUUUGGUUUCAAUUCCUUAUUUGGAUUUUGCAUCAAUCACAUGGCUAGAUUUCAACCAAUCGCUGAGGAGAACAACUUUGAAACACGGAAAAAUAACAACAGCAGCAAGUUAAACGGCACUAUCUUUCUACAUCGAACGGCAGCAACUUUUAUCUAACUACAGCUGGUUAGCUCGCUAGCUUGAUGGUUACUUUUGUGCCAUUUUUGACAUCCCAGUUUACUUGGUCUGACUCGCCUGUUACUGUACAGUACAUCAUUUCCAACACAUUGUUCUAAAAGACGGUGUUGCAUCCAAUUAUGGAUCUAUUAGGCUUCCUCACAUCUCUGGGGUUGAAGGACAGAACCUUGGGCAAACGCUUUCCUAUACUUCCCUCUACAAGUCAGGAGGAUCAUCAACACACAAGCCAACUUCCUGGACAUACAUGUUUGAGUCAUUGGCCCUUUGGAUGGUCAACAAGAACUUUGCAGAAGUUUCUACUCAGUGACAUUGAACCAGAGAAGCUCUUCCAUUCCCCAAUCCUUUCCAAACAAGAGACUGCUCACUUAAAUCUCAUGGCGGUGUAUUUAAUGACACAACUACUUAUUAUUUUUAGCAGGAUGCAUUGGCCACACAGAAUCAACUCUUCACAAGUAUGUGCAUUGGAACUUAAAUCAUUAGAAUCAACUAACAGGCAUGGGGGUCUAUGAUGUAAAUAGUCGAGGAAGUGUCUUGUUGUUAUACUUUUUAGAGAUGUUAAUACAAUUCUUAAUGUUGUCAAGUUAACAGUUCC
ensembl:lncRNA